rnacentral:rRNA from 1 species
CCUACGGGUGGCAGCAGUGGGGAAUAUUGCACAAUGGGGGAAACCCUGAUGCAGCGACGCCGCGUGAGUGAAGAAGUAAUUCGUGGUGUAAAGCUCUAUCAGCAGGGAAGAAAAUGCCGGUACCUGAGUAAGAAGCCCCGGCUAACUACGUGCCAGCAUCCGCGGUAAUACGUAGGGGGCAAGCGUUAUCCGGAAUUACUGGGUGUAAAGGGAGAGUAGACGGGAGUGCAAGUCUGGAGUGAAAGGCGGGGGCUCAACCCCCGGACUGCUCUGGAAACUGUACGGCUGGAGUGCAGGAGAGGUAAGUGGAAUGCGUAGUGUAGCGGUGAAAUGCGUAGAUAUUAGGAGGAACACCAGUGGCGAAGGCGGCUUACUGGACUGUAACUGACGUUGAGGCUCGAAAGCGUGGGGAGCAAACAGGAUUAGAUACCCUUGUAGUC